rnacentral:rRNA from 1 species
GACGAACGCUGGCGGCGUGCUUAACACAUGCAAGUCGAACGGAAAGGCCUCUUUCGGGGGGUACUCGAGUGGCGAACGGGUGAGUAACACGUGAGUAACCUGCCCUUGACUUUGGGAUAACUUCAGGAAACUGGGGCUAAUACCGGAUAGGAGCUCCUGCUGCAUGGUGGGGGUUGGAAAGUUUCGGCGGUUGGGGAUGGACUCGCGGCUUAUCAGCUUGUUGGUGGGGUAGUGGCUUACCAAGGCUUUGACGGGUAGCCGGCCUGAGAGGGUGACCGGCCACAUUGGGACUGAGAUACGGCCCAAACUCCUACGGGAGGCAGCAGUGGGGAAUAUUGCACAAUGGGUGGAAGCCUGAUGCAGCAACGCCGUGUGCGGGAUGACGGCCUUCGGGUUGUAAACCGCUUUCGCCUGUGACGAAGCGUGAGUGACGGUAAUGGGUAAAGAAGCACCGGCUAACUACGUG